rnacentral:rRNA from 1 species
UACGUAGGGGGCAAGCGUUGUCCGGAAUCAUUGGGCGUAAAGCGCGUGUAGGCGGCUGGGUAAGUCCGCUCUGAAAGCCCGGGGCUCAACCCCGGGAGGCGGGUGGAUACUGCUCAGCUCGAGUCCGGAAGAGGAGUGUGGAAUUCCUGGUGUAGCGGUGAAAUGCGUAGAUAUCGGGAGGAACACCUGUGGCGAAAGCGGCGCACUGGACCACAUCUGACGCUGAGGCGCGAAAGCUAGGGGAGCAAACAGG